rnacentral:lncRNA from 1 species
AUAGACUUUCUGAUUAUAUGCAUCUGUUUUAUCCCAUAUGAAAGUAUAGGCCAAGUUUGGUGAGGCAGGAAACCACUUUUGGAAGAGUCUUCCUACUACAGCUACCAUAAGAUGAACCUUCAUUAAAUUAAAUGGAAUAAUAGACUGGGUCAUGGUGAUCUUGAGAACUGACUUAUACCCUGCAGCUCUGGAACUCAAGUAGGAGAGUUUCAAAUCUGUUCCUGGAAUUG